rnacentral:rRNA from 1 species
GCGCAGCAGUCGCGAAAACUCUGCAAUACGCGAAAGCGUGACAGGGCUACCCCGAGUGUCGUCCGCUGAGGACGACUUUUCCACGCUGUAGGAGGCGCGGGAAUAAGGAGAGGGCAAGUCUGGUGUCAGCCGCCGCGGUAAUACCAGCUCUCCGAGUGGUAGGGACGUUUAUUGGGCUUAAAGCGUCCGUAGCCGGCUCAACAAGUCUCCCGUUAAAUCCAACGAUUCAAUCGUUGGACUGCGGGAGAUACUGCUGGGCUAGGAGGCGAGAGAGGCCGACGGUAUUCCCGGAGUAGGGGUGAAAUCUUAUAAUUCCGGGAGGACCACCAGUGGCGAAGGCUGUCGGCUAGAACAGGCUUGACGGUGAGGGACGAAAGCCAGGGGCGCGAACCGGAUUAGAUACCCGGGUAGUCC